rnacentral:rRNA from 1 species
UACGUAGGGUCCGAGCGUUGUCCGGAGUGACUGGGCGUAAAGCGCGCGUAGGUGGCCCCAUAAGUCCGCUGUGAAAGUCAAAGGCUCAACCUUUGAAAGCCGGUGGAUACUGUAGGACUAGAGUACGGAAGAGGCGAGUGGAAUUCCUGGUGUAGCGGUGGAAUGCGCAGAUAUCAGGAGGAACACCUGUGGCGAAAGCGGCUCACUGGACCACAACUGACGCUGAUGCGCGAAAGCUAGGGGAGCAAACAGG